rnacentral:rRNA from 1 species
GAUGAACGCUGGCGGCGUGCCUAAUACAUGCAAGUCGAGCGAAAAGGUGAGGAGCUUGCUCCUCUGACGUUAGCGGCGGACGGGUGAGUCACACGUGGAUCACCUACCUAUCAGACUGGGAUCACUUCGGGACACCGGAGCUAAUACCGGAUGAUAUCUUGCACCGCAUGGGUCGAUAGUGAAAGACGGUUUUGCUGGCACUUCUCGAUGGAUCUGGGCCGCUUUGGCUAGUUGGUACGGUAAAGGCUUACCACGGCAAGGAGGCGUAUCCGAGGGCAUAGGGGGGUAGCCCACAUGGGAACUGAGACAGGCACAAUAGUCCUGCGGGAGGGAGCAGAAUGCAACCUGAGGCAGUGGGCGAAAGCCUGACGCAGCAACGCCGCGUGUGUGAUGAAGGUCUUGGGAUCGUAAAACUCUGUUACUGGUGAAGAACAAAUUUGGAAUGUACCAUGCACUUCGUGACGGUAACUAAUCAGAAAGCCACGGCUAACUACGUG